UCCUAAAACUGUGUUCCAAGCUAUAAGCAUGAACUAAUACCAAAAACUAUCCUCUAACAUUACAUACUGAACUUUCUUUUUUUUUUUUUUUCGAGACAGGGUUUCACUGUAUUGCCCAGGCUAGAGUACAGUGGCACGAUCUUGGCUCACUGCAGCCUCAACCUCCUGGGCUCAAGCAAUUCUCCCACCUCAGCCUCCUAAGUAGCUGGGAUUACAGGCACAUGUCAUGACACCUAGCUAAUUUUUUGUAUUCUUUGUAGAGCCUGAGUUUUGCCAUCCCAGGAGUUCAAGGCUGCAGUGAGCUAUGAUCACCACUGCACUCCAGCCUGGGUA
rnacentral:lncRNA from 10 species